rnacentral:rRNA from 1 species
UACGAAGGGGGCUAGCGUUGUUCGGAAUUACUGGGCGUAAAGCGCGCGCAGGCGGUUUUUCAAGUCAGUGGUGAAAGCCCGGAGCUCAACUCCGGAACUGCCAUUGAAACUGUAAAACUUGAGGACGAGAGAGGUGAGUGGAAUUCCCAGUGUAGAGGUGAAAUUCGUAGAUAUUCGCAAGAACACCAGUGGCGAAGGCGGCUCACUGGCCCGAUACUGACGCUGAGGCACGAAAGCGUGGGGAGCAAACAGG